rnacentral:rRNA from 1 species
CAAUAGCGUAUAUUAAAGUUGUUGCAGUUAAAAAGCUCGUAGUUGGAUUUCUGGUGGAGAAGCUCCGCCCUCACGCGAGUGCGCGGAGGCUCUCUACCAUCCUUCUGUUAACCCUCGUGGUCCUUUAUUGGAUGCUUGGGAGCCCAGAUAUUUUACCUUGAGAAAAUUAGAGUGUUUCAGGCAGGCUUUCGCCGGAUACAUUAGCAUGGAAUAAUAGAAUAGGACUUUUGCCUCUUCUGUUGGUCUGAGGGGUCGAAGUAAUGAUUAAUAGGGAUAGUUGGGGGCGAUUAGUGACUUAACUGUCAGAGGUGAAAUUCUUGGAUUUUGUUAAAAGACGGACUACUGCGAAAGCAUUUGCCAAGGAUGUUUUUCAUUGAUCAAGAACGAAAGUUAGGGGAUCGAAGACGAUCAGAU